rnacentral:rRNA from 1 species
UACGUAGGGGGCGAGCGUUGUCCGGAGUUACUGGGCGUAAAGCGCACGCAGGCGGUCUGCUAAGUUUGGAGUGACAGUUGGUGGCUUAACUGCCAAAGUGCUUCGAAAACUGACAGACUUGAGGGCUUCAGAGGGACACGGAAUUCCGGGUGGAGUGGUGAAAUGCGUAGAGAUCCGGAGGAACACCAAAGGCGAAGGCAGUGUCCUGGGGAGUACCUGACGCUCAGGUGCGAGAGCCAGGGGAGCGAACGGG